GCCUUGAUGGCGCAGUGGUAACGCGUCGCACUUGUACACGAGUCUAUACCACUCUUUGCUCAAUUCAAUGCGAAGAUCCCUAGUUCAAUUCUGGGUCAAGGCA